rnacentral:rRNA from 1 species
AACGAACGCUGGCGGCGUGGAUAAGACAUGCAAGUCGAGCGAUCAUCAUCGGGUAGCAAUAUUCGGUGGUGGGAGCGGCGCAAGGGUGCGUAACACGUGGGUAAUCUGCCAUGAAGUUUGGGAUAAUCCCGCGAAAGCGGGACUAAUACCGGAUGUGACAACCAGGAGGCCUCCUUUGGUUGUUAAAGUUGGGGACCGUAAGGCCUGACGCUUCAUGAUGAGCCCGCGGCCUAUCAGCUAGUUGGUGAGGUAACGGCUCACCAAGGCUAAGACGGGUAGCUGGUCUGAGAGGACGACCAGCCACACUGGAACUGAGACACGGUCCAGACACCUACGGGUGGCAGCAGUCGAGAAUUUUUCACAAUGGGCGCAAGCCUGAUGGAGCGACGCCGCGUGGGGGAUGAAUGGCUUCGGCCCGUAAACCCCUGUCAUUUGCGAUCAAACCUUGCUAUUUAAAAGAUGGCGAGCUGAUAGUAGCGAAAGAGGAAGGGACGGCUAAC